AAUGGGAGAAUGACAAAUCAAAUUUUUCCUCUUAAUUUUCAGCUUUUCUCUCCUGAAAAAAAAUUCAAAUUUAACUAAAAAUGCUAAAAAUCAGGAGGAAAAAUUUGAUUUGUCAUUCUCCCAUU
rfam:Gossypium hirsutum cultivar TM-1 chromosome 16, whole genome shotgun sequence